UGUUAACAUAUCAAAAUGGCGGAGAAUAGAUAAUGUUGGGAGGAUAUUGACUUUAUCUCAGAGGUGCUUCGCAUGACUUAAUUACAUGCUUUACCGAUUGCAGUAACCAACCCACUUGUUACUAGGAUCUUUGACUAGGAAGUCUUAAACAUUCCACCAAUCCCAACCGUCAAAGUGGUGUACAUGCGAAGCGAACGUUCGACAAGUUUAGCCAUCUUGCAGUAGGUUAAGUGCAGAGGGUGAAAUUGGUUGGCGAACGGUGACAAGCUUCUAUCAUCGACGAGAAAAUAGGUCUACUAUAUAACGAUGACGAGCUUGGGGAGCGUGUUCACCGACCAAGAAGUUAACAAUUGGCUGAAGGCGAGGUUGGCAAUUAAUAUAACAAGUACUGGCUUACAUAAGUUUAUUGACAGGGAAGUAAAAAACGUUCAAGAAGAUAUUUUAAAAUCCAUUUCUUUGACUGCAACAUGCACCAAUUGUUGUACUGCGAACCUGUUGAAGUGCCCCACACCGGGCAUAUGCAAGAUUCAAAGACAAAAGGGAAGCCCAUCAAUAUGUAACUACCCACAUGACACGGCAAUGCAUCAACCAAAACCUUGUCCAAACAGCAUAUGUGACGAUAUUCGUGAUGAAAUAAUAAAGAAACACCGUUAUAAACGUCCAUCUUGGAAGAAUACAUCAGCAGAACAAUGGACUUCCAACCACUGGGAAUUAGCUAAGUGUUUCAUGCCUCGAGAUGGUUAUGCUGGAGUGAGUAAUA